GUUUUAUAGAAUGAGUAUAUCUAUAUCUAUAUCUGUCUGUAUCUACAUCUCAAAUGUCUUACCUUCCAGGCCAGAGAGUUUUUUGGCUGAUGUGUGUAGGGAGUGAGGAGAGUGGCUGGUAGUACCUUAGAGGUUGUACCUAAACAGGGAGAAUGACCGUAGGGAGGGGAGAAGGGAAGGGGAGAGGGCCUGGCAGCCACCCUGAGUCAGGGAGGGGGAAUCAUCAUCUUGUAGACUUCUAGAAGGGGACGUAGUCAUGACUGGGAUGGUUAGUGGUGUCCUGCUGGGUGGGAGGAAUAGGGAGACAGAGGGCUGGGGCCACUUGGGUGAGGGGUCUUAGAGGAGCACCGAGACUGGGUGAGAUAAUUUGUAUUGAGGUUUUGGUGAAGGCUCCUCUGUGCUUCUCCCCAGGCUAGUGUGACGGCAGGUAAGGUCCCAGAGGUGGUGGCCUUGGGCGCAGCCGAGAAGAAGGUGAAGAUGCUGGAGCAGCAGCGCAGUGAGCUGCUGGAAGUGAACAAGCAGUGGGACCAGCAUUUCCGGUCCAUGAAGCAGCAGUAUGAGCAGA
rnacentral:lncRNA from 1 species